AUUCCAGCUUCAAAUUCUGAAGAUGAAAAAACUGUUUGGAGAGUUGCUGAUAUAAUUACUCUUAAAUUCUUGUUGGAGAUGAAUCAGAUACAGUGAUUGGACUGGGGUUUGAUAAAGUUGAAAAGGUAAUGAAUGAUGAUUUCAUUAUAGAGGAUGGAACAGGCUGGAUCAGGGCUUUGCAGGCCUGUGACAAACUUGACAGAAAUCUGUUCACACGCCAUACGAUGCAUAUACAUUUCAUUUGCAGAACCAAAUUGCAGGUAUUGAUCUUACAGAUGCUGCAAAGUAAAACUUUGAUUCAAUGUCAGAUGGUAGAAUCAUCAGUGCACUUUAGUGUGGUAUGGAUCAACCAGACACCAGACAUCCACAUCAAACCAGUUCUCCAAUCAAUUGGUCCUUGACUGAUUCCAACUAUGCUCAAGCUUGCUGGUUGCAUCAAACUUUACCCUUUACCUCUUGCACUUUCCCUCUCUUUCAAGUUUCAUGUUGAGCAGGAGGAGUAUGACCCUACAAGGGAGUCUGCUAGAUCCCCUGAAGAUGAAGGUUUGAGACCCUCGACCGUUUUGAUGAAUUUCAGUCCAACCAAGCUUGACCAUGAUGUCUACGGUCUCAAGGGAUGUCUCUGGGGCUUUAACUGGCUUUUUGGAACUCGUUACAUGGUGAAAGCAGUUGGAAAUUAUUAUUUUUCUUUUUGUUUGUGUCUCAACAGAACAACUUGUAGGAAUUAGGAUUGAAGACUCAGUGUUUCAAUUAUAUUCACCAUCAUAAUUUCCUCAGGAUAAAGUA